CCUACGGGGGGCAGCAGUGGGGAAUAUUGGACAAUGGACGAAAGCCUGAUCCAGCCAUGCCGCGUGUGUGAAGAAGGCCUUCGGGUUGUAAAGCACUUUCAGUGGGGAAGAAAGCCUUGGGGCUAAUACCCUCGAGGAAGGACAUCACCCACAGAAGAAGCACCGGCUAACUCCGUGCCAGCAGCCGCGGUAAUACGGAGGGUGCGAGCGUUAAUCGGAAUUACUGGGCGUAAAGCGCGCGUAGGCGGUCUGAUAAGCCGGUUGUGAAAGCCCCGGGCUCAACCUGGGAACGGCAUCCGGAACUGUCAGGCUAGAGUGCAGGAGAGGAAGGUAGAAUUCCCGGUGUAGCGGUGAAAUGCGUAGAGAUCGGGAGGAAUACCAGUGGCGAAGGCGGCCUUCUGGACUGACACUGACGCUGAGGUGCGAAAGCGUGGGUAGCAAACAGGAUUAGAUACCCCUGUAGUC
rnacentral:rRNA from 1 species